rnacentral:rRNA from 1 species
GACGAACGCUGGCGGCGUGCCUAAUACAUGCAAGUAGAACGCUGAAGGAGGAGCUUGCUUCUCUGGAUGAGUUGCGAACGGGUGAGUAACGCGUAGGUAACCUGCCUGGUAGCGGGGGAUAACUAUUGGAAACGAUAGCUAAUACCGCAUAACAGUAGAUAUCGCAUGAUAGCUGCUUGAAAGGUGUAAUUGCACCACUACCAGAUGGACCUGCGUUGUAUUAGCUAGUUGGUGAGGUAACGGCUCACCAAGGCAACGAUACAUAGCCGACCUGAGAGGGUGAUCGGCCACACUGGGACUGAGACACGGCCCAGACUCCUACGGGAGGCAGCAGUAGGGAAUCUUCGGCAAUGGACGGAAGUCUGACCGAGCAACGCCGCGUGAGUGAAGAAGGUUUUCGGAUCGUAAAGCUCUGUUGUAAGAGAAGAACGAGUGUGAGAGUGGAAAGUUCACACUGGACGGUAUCUACCAGAAAGGAC